GCAGCGAUGUCCGAGUGGUUAAGGAGAUUGACUCGAAAUCAAUUGGGCUCUGCCCGCGUAGGUUCGAAUCUGGCUCGCUGCG
rnacentral:tRNA from 1 species